GCCAGAAACAGCAACCCUUCUGGGUCCCCUUCCACCACGCAGAAGCUUUACUUUCGCUUUCACUUUACUUUUGCUUUCACUUUAACAAAUCUUGCAGCCGCACACUCUUUGGGUCCGCCCGUUUCUCUAAUCAAGUUGUAACACUCGCUGCUGUGGUCCACAGCUUCAUUCCUUGAAGCCCGUGAGACACGAACGCUUCCAUUGAGAAAAACCUUCCAUCAGAAGAAGACUUCUCGUCUCAGUGGGACUGCUGAGUUGAAUGGUGCUUUUUUUUCUGAAGCUUUGGUAGUGUAACUGUAAGAGUCCUGGAAUUGGAAAAGCAAAUCCAGAAGUUGAGUUCCAUGACUUUUUUGCUGUUUGCCUUUGGACUUGCAUCAUUUAUAUUUUUAAUUCAUCGAGGAUGAGAAAAUUGAUUAACACAAAAUCUUUUCAUGUCUUUUCUGAUGAGAGACUAGCUGAAUCCAAGAAGAGAAGCCCUUGAAGAGUGUAUUCUAUUCUAGACAAGCAUUCACACAUUGGCUUCUUUGGUGCCAGAGCUAGUUAAUGAGAUUGUUGCUGCCUUCAGAUUCUAUAAAGGACUUCUCCAAUAUUGG
rnacentral:lncRNA from 1 species